AUCAAAGAUAACAACUUAGGGCUUCAACCACCGUUCGUGAUAAUCGUCUGCAAUAGUGGAAAAUCCGACCGAGAGGCAGCAUCAACCAAGACCAAGUAUGAAACUCAAAUUCGGCAAACCAAGGCUUUAAUAAAAUCCGCUGUAGUGCUCACUCGCUCACCUCCGAUCAGGUUCAUCGUCUUGGUGGAUGACGACUCGGUGCAGCCAGCUCUUGAUGAGUACGUAGCCCAGUGGCCAGAUAACGUUCGAAAUCGUAUAAUUUUGAGUUAUCGUUCAGUAUUCCAACCAGACGAAUGGCAUUUCAUCAAUCUGUAUGAAAAAUGUGCAACCGAAAAGUUAUUCCUGCCGUGGGCGUUGCCCGAGAUCGACUCCGUGAUUUACCUGGAUACUGAUUACGUGUUUCUGAGACCUCCAGACCAUCUAACUGAGCACUUCAAGCACUUUGAUGACAAGCAGGUGUUGGGAGUGACUCCUGUUGACGGCUAUUAUCUGCAGCACAUC
rnacentral:lncRNA from 1 species